ACGAACGCUGGCGGCGCGCCUAACACAUGCAAGUCGAACGAGAGAGAGGGAGCUUGCUUCCUUGAUCGAGUGGCGAACGGGUGAGUAACGCGUGAGGAACCUGCCUCAAAGAGGGGGACAACAGUUGGAAACGACUGCUAAUACCGCAUAAGCCCACGACCCGGCAUCGGGAAGAGGGAAAAGGAGCAAUCCGCUUUGAGAUGGCCUCGCGUCCGAUUCGCUAGUUGGUGAGGUAACGGCCCACCAAGGCGACGAUCGGUAGCCGGACUGGGAGGUUGAACGGCCCCAUUGGGACCGAGACACGGCCCAGACUCCGACGGGAGGCAGCAGUGGGGAAUAUUGCACAAUGGGGGAAACCCUGAUGCAGCGACGCCGCGUGGAGGAAGAAGGUCUUCGGAUUGUAAACUCCUGUUGUUGAGGAAGAUAAUGACGGUACUCAACAAGGAAGUGACGGCUAACUACGUGCCAGCCGCCGCCGUAA
rnacentral:rRNA from 1 species